CACCAGGUUGAUUCUGCCUGACGUAGACGCUAUACUCUAAGAUUAACCCAUGCAUGUUUAUUGAAUAUAAAGAAAAGACGAACAGCUCAGUAACUCUUAUUUGAUUUGAUGUAUUAGGAUUCUAACUAUGUUAAAUUAUAGGUAACAAUAAUACAAUAAGAAUAAGAUCUAUCAGUUAGUUGUUAAGGUAAUGGCUUAACAAGACUAUGACGGAUAACGGUAUUACUUUGUAAUAUUCCGGAGAAGGAGCCUGAGAGAUUGCUACUAAGUCUAAGGAUUGCAGCAGGGGCGAAACUUGACCUAUGAUAUUAUAUUGAGGCAGUUAUGAGUAGUAUUUUAUAAUUAUUGUAGUAUUGUAAGUACAUAUUACAAGAUAAAUCGGAGGGCAAAUCGAGUGCCAGCAGCCGCGGUAAUACUUGUUCCGAUAGUGUGUAUGAUGAUUGAUGCAGUUAAAAAGUCUGUAGUUUAUUUAUAAUAAGCAUUGUAAGGUAUACUGUAUGGUUAGGAGAGAGAUGAAAUGUGAUAACCCUAACUGGAUGAACAGAAGCGAAAGCUGUAUACUUAAAUGUAUUAUUAGAACAAGGACGUAAGCUAGAGGAUCGAAGAUGAUUAGAUACCAUUGUAGUUCUAGCAGUAAACUAUGUUGAAUCAUAGAUAUAUUUUGAUAUAUAUUUAUGUAGAGAAAUUAAGAUUAUAUUGACUCUGGGGAUAGUAUGAUCGCAAGAUUGAAAAUUAAAGAAAUUGACGGAAGAAUACCACAAGGAGUGGAUUGUGCGGCUUAAUUUGACUCAACGCGGGGUAAUUUACCAGGUAUAACAUGGUAUAAUAUUUUAUCAUGAUAGUGGUGCAUGGCCGUUUCCAAUGGAUGCUGUGAAGUAAUGAUUAAUUUCAACAAGAUGUGAGACCCUCAUUUAGACAGAUGUAGUGAUACAUAUGAAGGAGAGGAUUAAAACAGGUCCGUUAUGCCCUAAGAUAAUCUGGGUUGCACGCGCAAUACAAAAAUAUUUGAUAUUAUAAGGGAUAAUAUAAUGUAAGAUAUAUUUGAACAUGGAAUUGCUAGUAAAUUUUAUUUAAUAAGUAGAAUUGAAUGAGUCCCUGUUCUUUGUACACACCGCCCGU
rnacentral:rRNA from 1 species